rnacentral:rRNA from 1 species
UACGGAGGGUACAAGCGUUGCCCGGAAUCACUGGGCGUAAAGGGCGCGUAGGCGGCUCAUGAAGGCUGUGGUGAAAGUCCGGGGCUCAACCUCGGAUCGGCCGUGGCGACUCGUGGGCUGGAGCACUGUAGAGGCGGGUGGAAUUCCGGGUGUAGCGGUGGAAUGCGUAGAGAUCCGGAAGAACACCAGUGGCGAAGGCGGCCCGCUGGGCAGUGGCUGACGCUGAGGCGCGACAGCGUGGGGAGCAAACAGG